rnacentral:misc_RNA from 1 species
GAUGAAGGAACGUAGCGAAAUGCGAUACGUAAUGUGAAUUGCAGAAUUCAGUGAAUCAUCGAGUCUUUGAACGCACAUUGCGCCCCCUGGUAUUCCGGGGGGCAUGCCUGUCCGAGCGUCAUUGCUGCCCUCAAGCACGGCUUGUGUGUUGGGCCUCCGCCCCCCGGCUCCCGGGGGGCGGGCCCGAAAGGCAGCGGCGGCACCGCGUCCGGUCCUCGAGCGUAUGGGGCUUCGUCACCCGCUCCGUAGGCCCGGCCGGCGCCCGCCGGCGACCCCCCUCAAUCUUUCCAGGUUGACCUCGGAUCAGGUAGGGAUACCCGCUGAACUUAAGCAUAUCAAUAAGCGGAGGA